GUGGUUGCUGGCUGUUACCAGGACAACCGGAGGCGAUUGACCGUUAUCUGCGGUUUGGAGCCGUUAGCGGGAGAGGCAGAGAUAUUCAGAGGUCUUUUAGGAUGCGCUAAAGGGUCGUGAGGGCUCUCUUAAAAUUUUCUUCACAAGCGGUUAUCCAGUCGUGCCCCGCGGCCCUGCUGCUGGCCCCGGGGAUCUGAGUCGUACCCUCUUGUUUUUCUCUGAGUCAGUCUUAAGGUGAAAUGAAGUGUGGCCCAGUGGCUCCUCACUGUCGCUUCUCUAGUUUUCUGCCUCCUUUUAGAAAAUGUAAGUUGAGAAUUUCUAAUUUACAUCGGGAUGUGUUCUAAUGCGCUUGUUUUUAAAACUGUGGAAAAUUUUUAAAAGAAAAUAAAUCUCACCAGUCAUCCAGCUACCCAGAAGUAACAUUUUCAUGCAUUACCUAUUAAUUUUUUUCUCUGCAUAUUUUUUCAUAGUUGAGAUAAUUUAGGGAAAACCAUUUUGUGUCCUUCAUAUAUGGAUGAAUACAAUAUAAUUUUGGUAUUAAUAUCAUAGCAACAAAGAAGGCAUUGAAGGCUUUAAAUCUGUUUACAGUGAAUUGAAAAGACAGGAUGAAGUGGACACAGCAUGUGAAGACAAUUCUUUCAAGAAGUUUGGCUGUCAAGGAAAACAGAGAAUGUGAGUAGCCAAAGCAGAAUGACAGUGAAAGAAAGAAAUUGGGAGCCAGACAAUACAGCCCGACAGUUUACGCCUGUACGGAUGUACCUCUUUCACAAAAGAUUGAGUAUGCUUGGGGAAAAAAAAUACACACUAUAAUAGGAGAAAAUGAUGAAGAGAAACUGAGGUAAAGGUAAUUGGAAAACAAAAUAAAGCCAGGGGUAUAUUAAUACCCCAAAACUUCAUACCAAAAGGUCCGUGUAUUUACUAGAGGGGUGCCACAAAUUGGGCUCUGAGGUUCCUAGCAAUUAAACCAAAGGGAAAAUAUAAGUUUAACAUGAUCCGUAUGAGGGAGGAGGCCUAAUGGCAUAUUAUAGAAUCCUGUUACACAUUAGCUGUAUGAAAUUGAUUGGGUAAUGUAAGCUCUUUAGACCUCAUUUCUCCGUCUCUUAAAGAGUGGGGAGAGGAAGCAGGAGACUGUUAGACGAGUUGAUCUUUUAAUAUCUCUUCCACUACUGACAGUCUAUGAUCAUAUAGGCCAGAGACGGCAAACUCAGAUGCCUAAAUUAGGGACUAAGAAAGUUUCAUAAGUGAGGAAAUGGACUGAAUGUGACAAAAGCAAGGAGUGAUAGAGAUUGGAAUGUUAGAGUUGAUUGAGCUGUCCCAUCUAAAACUCCAGCCAAUUCUUGCAAAAAUAAGGACUCAGUGUUGCCUGAUUUUUCAGGAGAAACAGGAAAAUCAUAUUUUUGAUAAUAUUAUACAAAACAAAACACCUCUACUAGCUAGAUACAAUUUGUGGGUCACUAAUUUUCAACCUCUGCUAUAGGUGAAAGGACCUCAACAAGAGGGAUAAUUGCUUGAAUUAAAGAAUUAAAUAUGAAAAAGAGGAAGAAGUCAAAAAGAAUACCAAGAUUUCCCCUUGGUAAUAAGAAGGAGUUAGUAACAUUGAUACUAAAAUCAGCAGAAGGUUUGGGGAGAGAAGGUGCUUUAUUGUGAGUUUCUUGAACAUGGGGCAAACUUAUUUAUGUGUAUCCAUAGCACAUGAAUCCAAUUCAGCUGCUGGAUUUGAGAAAUCUGUGGGAUUUAUCAGGGGAAAGGGCGCAGGAAUGUAGGUCAGGAGUUUGGGGAAAGAAGAUGAAAAAGGAGUUUAAGAUGUAAGAUUCAUUCUUUCAAUAAAGUUUUAUUGAUUAUAUAUCACAAUAUGUAUUUUCACGAGACUCUAAACUGUCUGAGGGCAGAAAGCACGGGGUUUUUUUUAACCACUUACCCAGCUCCUAGCACAAUACAUAGUCAGUGCUUAUGUAUGUUGAAAAAACAAAUGAAAAAAUACAAAACACUGUGCUUUACAGUAUAGGAGAUGCAGAGUUGAAUUAGAAAAUCUUAAGGGAACAAGAAACACUGGGGUCUGCUUGAGGGUGGAGGGUGGGAGCAU
rnacentral:lncRNA from 10 species